UUCAAACUAUUGCUGUAUGUCGGUAUAAAAGUUCCGUAGGCGGCGCUCACCUGGUCAGUCUUGCGAUGGAAGCACGGACUGUGCUUGGAAGGGGCACCAGUUGCAAACUAUAUGAAAAUAAGACGGGAUG